rnacentral:rRNA from 1 species
GACGAACGCUGGCGGCGUGCCUAAUACAUGCAGGUUGAGCGCUGAAGGUUGGUACUUGUACCAACUGGAUGAGCAGCGAACGGGUGAGUAACGCGUGGGGAAUCUGCCUUUGAGCGGGGGACAACAUUUGGAAACGAAUGCUAAUACCGCAUAAAAACUUUAAACACAAGUUUUAAGUUUGAAAGGUGCAAUUGCAUCACUCAAAGAUGAUCCCGCGUUGUAUUAGCUAGUUGGUGAGGUAAAGGCUCACCAAGGCGAUGAUACAUAGCCGACCUGAGAGGGUGAUCGGCCACAUUGGGACUGAGACACGGCCCAAACUCCUACGGGAGGCAGCAGUAGGGAAUCUUCGGCAAUGGACGAAAGUCUGACCGAGCAACGCCGCGUGAGUGAAGAAGGUUUUCGGAUCGUAAAACUCUGUUGGUAGAGAAGAACGUUGGUGAGAGUGGAAAGCUCAUCAAGUGACGGUAACUACCCAGAAAGGGACGGCUAACUACGUG